rnacentral:rRNA from 1 species
AGAGUUUGAUCAUGGCUCAGGAUGAACGCUAGCUACAGGCUUAACACAUGCAAGUCGAGGGGAAACGAUAUUGGAAGCUUGCUUCCGAUAGGCGUCGACCGGCGCACGGGUGAGUAACGCGUAUCCAACCUGCCCACCACUUGGGGAUAACCUUGCGAAAGUAAGACUAAUACCCAAUGACGUCUCUAGAAGACAUCUGAAAGAGAUUAAAGAUUUAUCGGUGAUGGAUGGGGAUGCGUCUGAUUAGCUUGUUGGCGGGGUAACGGCCCACCAAGGCUACAAUCAGUAGGGGUUCUGAGAGGAAGGUCCCCCCANAUUGGAACUGAGACACGGUCCAAACUCCUACGGGAGGCA